rnacentral:misc_RNA from 1 species
GAGUAAAAGUCGUAACAAGGUUUCCGUAGGUGAACCUGCGGAAGGAUCAUUAAAGAGAAUAUGCCCUUCGGGGUAGAUCUCCCACCCUUUGUUUAUAUUACCUUUGUUGCUUUGGCAGGCCCGUCUUCGGACCACCGGCUUCGGCUGGUCAGUGCUUGCCAGAGGACCCAAAACUCUUAUUAUUAAUGUCGUCUGAGUACCAUAUAAUAGUUAAAACUUUCAACAACGGAUCUCUUGGUUCUG